rnacentral:rRNA from 1 species
GGGACAGUAGGUUGGUCGUGCCACCGGUACGUACUGGUCUCACUGAUUCCUCCUUCCUGAAGAACCGUAAUGCCAUUAAUUUGGUGCUGCGGGGAAACAGGACUGUUACUUUGAAAAAAUUAGAGUGUUUAAAGCAAGCUAACGCUUGAAUACAUUAGCAUGGAAUAAUGAAAUAGGACGAUCGAUCAUAUUUUGUUGGUUUCUAGGAUUGACGUA